UCUUAUGUACAUGCCUACAGCAUAACAUUAAUGUGUCAAAUCCCAUUAGAAAUCCACAGUUAAGCAUGCUCGGGCUAGAGUAGUAAUGGGAUGAGUGACCACUCGGGAAAUCCUAGUGUUUCACAUGCC
rnacentral:rRNA from 1 species